GAGAAGCGAUGUAGGAGCUAGAGCUUCCGGUACUGAAUCCAGCCAUUUGAGGGAUGAUAAGGAUGGUGACGGAGACACGGUCAUCACGCUCGACAAGAAGCUUAGCAACUUCCACUAGUGGUUUGAUGUGGCCGUCACCAGGUGAUGGUAUGAAAACAAGCUCUAGUUGCAUUUUUUUUCUAAGAUUGAUCUCUUUUUGUCAAUUGAUUUUCUUAACAGAAAAAAAUGGCAAAGUAGGUUUUGCUAUUGAACCCCUUAAAGAUGAAGCGAUAUAUAUAAUAAAGUCUUGUGUCGUAUGCAUACAAAACAAGUGGAGGAUAGACAGUGCAAUAAUCUUCGAUGUUCUUUUAAAUAAUUGAAGCUUAAAUGGUCAGUCAAACUAGUAUACCACGCAUUUAAGUACAGUAGUUUUGUUUCUGUCCACAAAAGAGAAGUUUUUUUGGCCAAAGAUCUUUAUUGGUAAAACGCUUCAAACAAGUAAUUCAAAAUUUUAAUAUUAUUAGAUUUUAGUUUAUAUAAUUAAAUUUUAAUUUAAUGUCAAAAACAAAUUAAAUUAUAAGCAAGCACGUCCGUUUAGCAUCUAACACCUUUUUUUAUGAUCCAGGUCAUCAUCUGGGUUUGAGAACCUGACUAAUUCUGAAGGUCGAAAGCAUAUUGCUUAAUUUCAUGUGCCAUAACACGAAAAAUAUAUCUUAGAUGGUAGAUUUCGAACUUCAAAUGCUUGGCUCUUCUCUAAAAUUCGCACCACUCAAUCACACCCGCACGGACAUAAAAAUGAGACUGAUCUAAGAGCAUGUCCAUUGGUGAUAUACCAACUAAAGCUUAUGUACAAUGGUUUCAAGAUUCAACACCAUUCACUUCAUCUUUUAAUACUCCAUAUCAUCUUCUCUUUCUUACACAUCAUCAUUCAACACACAUUCAACUUUUAU
rnacentral:lncRNA from 1 species